CACGUAGGGUGCGAGCGUUGUCCGGAAUUAUUGGGCGUAAAGAGCUCGUAGGCGGUGUGUCGCGUCGGCCGUGAAAACCUGCAGCUUAACUGUGGGCUUGCGGUCGAUACGGGCAUCACUGGAGUUCGGCAGGGGAGACUGGAAUUCCCGGUGUAGCGGUGAAAUGUGUAGAGAUCGGGAGGAACACCGGUGGCGAAGGCGGGUCUCUGGGCAACUCCUGACGCUGAGGCGCGAAAGCGUGGGGAGCAAACGGG
rnacentral:rRNA from 1 species